rnacentral:rRNA from 1 species
ACGGAGGGGGCUAGCGUUGUUCGGAAUUAUUGGGAGUAAAGCGCACGUAGGCGGACCAGAAAGUCAGAGGUGAAAUUCCAGGGCUCAACCUUGGAACUGCCUUUGAAACUAUUGGUCUGGAGUUCAAGUGAGGUGAGUGGAAUUCCGAGUGUAGAGGUGAAAUUCGUAGAUAUUCCGCUGAACACCAGUGGCGAAGGCAGCUCACUGGCUCAAUACUGACGCUGAUGUGCGAAAGCGUGGGGAGCAAACAG